CCUACGGGAGGCACCAGUGGGGAAUAUUGCACAAUGGGCGCAAGCCUGAUGCAGCCAUGCCGCGUGUAUGAAGAAGGCCUUCGGGUUGUAAAGUACUUUCAGCGAGGAGGAAGGCAUUAAGGUUAAUAACCUUGGUGAUUGACGUUACCCGCAGAAGAAGCACCGGCUAACUCCGUGCCAGCAGCCGCGGUAAUACGGAGGGUGCAAGCGUUAAUCGGAAUUACUGGGCGUAAAGCGCACGCAGGCAGUCUGUCUAGUCGGAUGUGAAAUCCCCGGGCUCAACCUGGGAACUGCAUUCGAAACUGGCAGGCUAGAGUCUUGUAGAGGGGGGUAGAAUUCCAGGUGUAGCGGUGAAAUGCGUAGAGAUCUGGAGGAAUACCGGUGGCGAAGGCGGCCCCCUGGACAAAGACUGACGCUCAGGUGCGAAAGCGUGGGGAGCAAACAGGAUUAGAUACCCCAGUAGUC
rnacentral:rRNA from 1 species